rnacentral:rRNA from 1 species
AUUGAACGCUGGCGGCAGGCCUAACACAUGCAAGUCGAGCGGCAGCGGGAAAGUAGCUUGCUACUUUUGCCGGCGAGCGGCGGACGGGUGAGUAAUGCCUGGGAAAUUGCCCAGUCGAGGGGGAUAACAGUUGGAAACGAAUGCUAAUACCGCAUACGCCCUACGGGGGAAAGACGGGGACGUUCGGGCAUUGAGCGGUGGGCUAUGCCAGGGUGGGAUUAGCUAGUUGGUGAGGUAAUGGAUCACCAAGGCGACGAUCCCUAGCUGGUUUGAGAGGAUGAUCAGCCACACUGGAACUGAGACACGGUCCAGACUCCUACGGGAGGCAGCAGUGGGGAAUAUUGCACAAUGGGGGAAACCCUGAUGCAGCCAUGCCGCGUGUGUGAAGAAGGCCUUCGGGUUGUAAAGCACUUUCAGCGAGGAGGAAAGGUUGAUGCCUAAUACGUAUCAACUGUGACGUUACUCGCAGAAGAAGCACCGGCUAACUCCGUGCCAGCCGCCGCCGUAA